rnacentral:rRNA from 1 species
GCCAGCAGCUAGCUCUCUGCGACUCUCACAUGGUUGACAACUGAAGUUAAGCAGUGCUGCGCCUGGUCAGUACCUGGAUAGGAGACAACAUGGGAAAGCUAGGUUGCUGCCAGAA